CGAACGCUGGCGGCGUGCUUAACACAUGCAAGUCGAACGCGAACGAGUUCUUCGGAACUUUAGUAGAGUGGCGCACGGGUGAGUAACGCGUAAGUAAUCUACCCUCGCAUCUGGGAUAACCCACCGAAAGGUGUGCUAAUACCGGAUACGUCUAAGUUAAUAUCUUUUUUUUAGAGAAAGGUGGCCUCUGAUUCAAGCUACUGUGCGGGGAGGAGCUUGCGUACCAUUAGCUAGUUGGUAGGGUAACGGCCUACCAAGGCGACGAUGGUUAGCGGGUCUGAGAGGAUGAUCCGCCACACUGGAACGGAAACACGGACCAGACUCCUACGGGAGGCAGCAGUGAGGAAUAUUGCGCAAUGGGGGCAACCCUGACGCAGCGACGCCGCGUGGAUGAUGAAGGCCUUCGGGUUGUAAAAUCCUGUCAGAUGGGAAGAAGUGCUAUAUGGUUAAUAUCUGUAUAGUUUGACGGUACCAUCAAAGGAAGCACCGGCUAACUCC
rnacentral:rRNA from 1 species